AUGGUGAGCAUCUCCGAUGAGCUGGCAGCCGCCGGCAAGCCCCUGGAUGAAGACAACGUCGUCGACCACAUCCUGCAAGGUCUCCUCCAUGAACCCGACUACAACGGCUUCAUCUCGGCCAUCUCCAACCGCACCGCCACCAAACAGCCAAUCGGUCUCAGCGAGCUCUUCUCCCUGCUGCUGUCGGCUGAAGCUCGCAUCGCCGCCCAGAACACCGCCUUCCACUCCGCCAAUUUGGCAGCAAGUGGUGGAGGUCGCGGCAACCCAAGUGGUGGCGGCAACAGCGGCGGCGGAGGCGGUUCCCGCGGCUACAGCAACAACAACAACAACGCGGGCGCCCGCUACCCCGACAAUCCCGGCGGCAACGGCUUUGGAGGUGGGCCGCGACAAGUAGGUGGUGACCGCGGUGACCGAUAG
rnacentral:rRNA from 1 species